ensembl:snRNA U2 U2 spliceosomal RNA
AUCACUUCUUGGCCUUUUGGCUAAGAUCAAGUGUAGUACUGGGGACUGAACUCAAAAGCCUUCUCACUGAGCUACAUCCCCAGCUCUUUUUUAUUUUGAGAUAGAAUCUGGCUAAGUUGCCCAGGCUCGGAUCAAACUCAGGAUUCUCCUGCCUCUGCCUCCCUGGGUGCUAGGAUUACAGUCA